AUUGAACGCUGGCGGCAUGCUUUACACAUGCAAGUCGAACGGCAGCGCGGGCUUCGGCCUGGCGGCGAGUGGCGAACGGGUGAGUAAUGCAUCGGAACGUGCCCAGUAGUGGGGGAUAGCCCGGCGACAGCCGGAUUAAUACCGCAUACGACCUGAGGGUGAAAGCGGGGGACCGAAAGGCCUCGCGCUAUUGGAGCGGCCGAUGUCGGAUUAGCUAGUUGGUGGGGUAAAGGCUUACCAAGGCGACGAUCCGUAGCUGGUCUGAGAGGACGACCAGCCACACUGGGACUGAGACACGGCCCAGACUCCUACGGGAGGCAGCAGUGGGGAAUUCUGGACAAUGGGGGCAACCCUGAUCCAGCCAUGCCGCGUGCGAGAAGAAGGCCUUCGGGUUGUAAACCGCUUUUGUUCGGGAAGAAAUCCUCUGGGCUAAUACCCCGGGGGGAUGACGGUACCGGAAGAAUAAGCACCGGCUAACUACGUG
rnacentral:rRNA from 1 species